rnacentral:rRNA from 1 species
GAUGAACGCUAGCGAUAGGCUUAACACAUGCAAGUCGAGGGGCAGCAUGGUCUUAGCUUGCUAAGACUGAUGGCGACCGGCGCACGGGUGCGUAACGCGUAUGCAACUUGCCUCACAGAGGGGGAUAACCCGUCGAAAGACGGACUAAUACCGCGUACACUUGGGAUAGGGCAUCCUGACCCAAGGAAAUGAAAUUCGCUGUGAGAUAGGCAUGCGUCCCAUUAGCUAGUUGGUGAGGUAACGGCUCACCAAGGCGACGAUGGGUAGGGGAACUGAGAGGUUGAACCCCCACACUGGUACUGAGACACGGACCAGACUCCUACGGGAGGCAGCAGUGAGGAAUAUUGGUCAAUGGGCGAGAGCCUGAACCAGCCAAGUCGCGUGAAGGAUGACUGUCUUAUGGAUUGUAAACUUCUUUUAGACGGGAAUAACAAGAGCCACGUGUGGCUCCCUGCAUGUACCGGAUGAAUAAGCAUCGGCUAACUCCGUG